ACUGAUGCCAUGAUUACUACAAACAAAGCUCAAGAUUCGGAGACUAAUGGACAGAAUCAGACAGAGUAUUCAGAGGUGUUUUUCAGAUGAUGAUCAUUCAGACUGUAUUAUUAUAAAGCUCAUCUUAUUACAGGCCAGAGCAUUUUGGAGCAAAUAUCAGAAUGUAACAAAGCUUCAAGUCUCAAAGUUGCACUGCAAAUCUACUGGUUGUGGCAUUGUUUACUACAAAUGAUAAAAGUACUUGAUGAAGAGAAUUUGAUCCUUAACAAGAAAAAAUACUAGAAUUGUAGAGUUUUCACAACAGGCAACCUUUCACUUAAUUUAAUUUCUGACCUCAAUCUUGUCUGAGGCUGCACAGCUUCAUACCUUCAUACCUAGUAUAAUCAUGUCUAGACUUGAGUUUAGCUGGUUUGUGUAGUAUAAUUUUCACACCCAUCCAAGUGAUUCAUAUCCUAGUUCUGAUUAUAAAACAAUAGUCAUGAAAAACUGGGCAAAAAUAGCUCAAAAGAAA